rnacentral:rRNA from 1 species
AGAGUUUGAUCAUGGCUCAGGACGAACGCUGGCGGCGUGCCUAAUACAUGCAAGUCGAGCGAGCGGAACUAACAGAUUUACUUCGGUAAUGACGUUAGGAAAGCGAGCGGCGGAUGGGUGAGUAACACGUGGGAACCUGCCCCAUAGUCUGGGAUACCACUUGGAAACAGGUGCUAAUACCCGG